CUUUUAUAUCUUUUAGGCAGAGACACAAACAGAUACAGUGCUUUCAUCCUCCAAGGCUCACAACUGAGUCUGGGCUAAAUCAAAACCAGGAGCGGUGGGGCAGGGAUUGUGCUGCAUCAGUUUAAGCUGCUGAUUGGGAGGCUCACAUCAAAUACCAGGUAUGGGAAUGGGGAUGUAAGAUCCUCUCACAGGAAACAACACUGAAGAUGAGUGGUCCCUGGUCAUCACAUGCUGGAAUGUCACUUCUCCCACAGGUCAUUAGCACAGAGCUGGAUUGGAAGUGGAGCAGCCAAGACAUGAACCAGCACCUGUAUGGGAUACCAGUGCCACAGGCAGAGGCUUAAUGAUUAUGGCACAGCACCAGCCCCCACUUUAUCUAAAUUUACGCUGCUCUCAUGGAGAAGAAAAUCUGUUCCACUUACAGGAUACUUAAGUCCAGCAGUGGAGGAAGCAUAAUUGAAAGAGCCCACAACUGAGAUCAUGGCAUAAAGACCCUUGCUUCCAUGUGAGAAUGAUUGAGAAAACUGUCUUCAUUGCAUAAAAGUCAUCAUGAAGAGGAUAAGGGACCUCUGCAUCUCCAAGUGUAUUUCUACCUCCCAGCUGUGAACACAGAAUAGGGCAUCCAUUGAUUAAACAAUGAUUCCAUACUUCCAUGUGGUGCUUCUCUGCUUACCAUUGCCUGCUGAAAUCUUUUUGUUCCUAUGUAUUUUUACCCAGCAUGGUUUGUCUUAAUUUUCUCACUUCUCCCUGACAAUACUCAACAAUUUACACACUGUUCCCUACAUUUACACACUUUCUCUUGAUGUGCAUGAUAAACCUGAUAAAUUGCCCUAAUGAUUUUUAUUAUUCUAUCAUUGUAAAAAUGCUAGUAUCAUGUUCUUUAAUAAGUUUGGCAUAAUACUGAAAAGUGGGUGUUUGCCAUUGAAGACACUGUAUUUGUGCUCACUAGUAUUACCUAGAUUAGGAGUAGUGCUAUCCUCUGAUUAUACCUUCAAUUUGAACUAAAUUCUAAAGCAUGAAUAAAAUUACUGAUAAUGAAGAUGAAGCUGAAGAG
rnacentral:lncRNA from 1 species